GCAACAGAGAAAGAGAGACUGGGGCAGGGAAGCACAUAGAAUCUGGACUGUGGGAAGAAGAGGUCUUCUGACAGCAAGAGUCUCACCAAAGGGCAGUGCCAAGGGGAGUGCCUUCCAGCCCUGGACACUACAGUCAUGAAAAUGAAUAGUUUGGCUUCACCCAAAAUGAUGGAUAAUCUUCCUAGAAGAGUGUGACAAUGAUGGACAGACAUCUUCUGUGUGAAGAGGAUACUGAAAACGUUGCGGUCUUGAGCCGGCAAUCAAGUUGACAUAACAUCUAUCAUUUAAUAUUCUCUUAUGUUGUUGGAAUUUCUUGAACUGAACUAGCUUCAUAUUAUCCAUUUUCCUCAAACAACAACUGCAACUGCCGAAGGAGUCAUUUUUGAUGGGAGGAGAUUUUCAAUGGGUUUUGAAUUAAUGGUGAUUGAACUGUGUUAUAAAAGAAGAAAAUAAACUGAGGAUUUAUGCUGUCAGUAAAGUAUGUUCUGCCACUAAGAGAAAACAAACUCUCAAACUUCAGAUCAGAAGAAUAUUAAAUUACACGUGAAUGGAGUAUUAUCACUAAGAGUAGAGUUAUAAGUAAUAACUAUUUGAGAAUAUAGGUUGUUAUUACCCAGAAAACUACAACAAAUAGGACACUGGACUGGGACUCUGGACAUCUGGGUUCAAUUCCCAGAUCUACCACCAACCUGCUGUGUGAUGUUAGUUAAAUCACUUCCCG